UACGGAGGGUGCGAGCGUUGUCCGGAAUCACUGGGCGUAAAGGGCGCGUAGGUGGUCCUUUAAGCGUGUGGUGAAAGCUCGGGGCUCAACCUCGAGUCGGCCAUGCGAACUGGGGACUGGAGCACUGUAGAGGCAGGUGGAAUUCCGGGUGUAGCGGUGGAAUGCGUAGAGAUCCGGAAGAACACCGGUGGCGAAGGCGGCCUGCUGGGCAGUUGCUGACACUGAUGCGCGACAGCGUGGGGAGCAAACAGG
rnacentral:rRNA from 1 species